UGGGGGAUAUUGGACAAUGGGGGAAACCCUGAUCCAGCGACGCCGCGUGAGUGAAGAAGUAUUUCGGUAUGUAAAGCUCUGUCAGCAGGGAAGAAAGAAAUGACGGUACCUGACCAAGAAGCCCCGGCUAACUACGUGCCAGCAGCCGCGGUAAUACGUAGGGGGCAAGCGUUAUCCGGAAUUACUGGGUGUAAAGGGAGCGUAGACGGUGAUGCAAGUCUGGAGUGAAAGGCGGGGGCCCAACCCCCGGACUGCUCUGGAAACUGUGUAACUUGAGUGCAGGAGAGGUAAGCGGAAUUCCUAGUGUAGCGGUGAAAUGCGUAGAUAUUAGGAGGAACACCAGUGGCGAAGGCGGCUUACUGGACUGUAACUGACGUUGAGGCUCGAAAGCAUGGGUAGCGAACAGG
rnacentral:rRNA from 1 species